rnacentral:rRNA from 1 species
CAAUAUGAAGGUCAGGCUGAAGACCUUACCCGAUUAGCUGAGAGGUGGUGCAUGGCCGUCGUCAGUUCGUACUGUGAAGCAUCCCGUUAAGUCAGGCAACGAGCGAGACCCACGUCCACAGUUGCCAGCAUACCCUCCGGGGUGAUGGGUACACUGUGGAGACCGCCGCUGCUAAAGCGGAGGAAGGAGUGGGCAACGGUAGGUCAGUAUGCCCCGAAUCUCCCGGGCUACACGCGGGCUACAAUGGUUGGUACAAUGGGCAUCUACCCCGAAAGGGGAAGGAAAUCUCUUAAAGCCAAUCGUAGUUCGGAUUGAGGGCUGCAACUCGCCCUCAUGAAGCUGGAAUCCGUAGUAAUCGCGUUUCAACAGAACGCGGUGAAUACGUCCCUGCUCCUU